GUUCACACCACUCUGGGCUCAUUUAAGGGCAAGCCUCCAUAGGGAGACUAUCUCUUGGUUGAAGGCUGUGUCCUGAGGAGUGAGUGUUCUAUUGCCAGAGACCCUCAUCAACAGCUGGUUUCCAUGGAAAUAAAUAGGAGGCAUUACUUUCAGAGGAACUUCUGUAUAUGCUGCCCAAGAUAAUUCAUCUUUAUGCAACAUGGCUCAGGCAAGCCAAAAGGCUGUUAUUCACUGAAUGAUAGCACAAAGGAUUUACCAGCCCCAAAGGGAAGGUCACUCAUGAGUGUGACCCAGGGAGAAAAUUCAAGUCACUAAGUCAAAACACAGUCAUCAUGCAAAUUCAUCGCAGUGUGAAGUUCCCCUUGUCAUUGGAAACUUCACAAGAGAUUUCCAGUUUACACUGGUCUUCAGCAUCCCUGUCCCAUGCUAAUCACCCUGGGCACUGAGAGAAACCUCACCAAACUUCGGAUCCAGAAGAAAAGAUCAGAAGUUACCAGGGGAGCUUUCUACAGGAAAUCAAGCCACUCUCCAACUCCCCUUCUGCAGAAGCAAGCUAUGCGACAAAGAAAUCCUUCUCACUGACUUCAGGUGACCAGCAGAAGCCCUGAAGCAAUGGGAACACAAUGGUGGUAGUGACAGCACAGAUGGUCCCAGAGCAGGCUUGGGUCCAGCUACAGGCUGAGCAGCGCAAAGCCAAUUCUGUGAGCGCAGCUUGAAAAUGCUUGUGGUAAACUUAAUGAGAGGCUUUUCUUGAUGAAAAAUUGGCAGCUGUUGACAAGUUCAGUGGUUUUGAAGGGUUUCAUUACGAGAGAAUAUGCAAACAGCCUUAACAAGGUUCUGCUCAGCUUUUAUAUGUCUCUGUCUGCACAACAGCCUUGAUUAGGUAAACACAAUAAUAGCUAUUUCUCUUCAAAGGUGUACCUCUCAGCUAGCUGUGCAACAGCGCAGGAUAAUUAGGGUGAAGAAUUCUGAAACUGGGACAGACAGAUAGCUGUCUGUUUACUCUCAUGCUGCUAAAAUCCUUUUGGAAAUUUGGUGCCAGGUUUGUGGGUUUAUUAGCUUCGUUUUGAAAUUAUUAUUGUUAUUUUUAAAGGCCUUAAAAUAUAGCACUGAGAUCACAAUCGUGGAUUCCCACUCAGUUCAAAGGAUCCAUCGACUUCAUAACCUCUAACAGAGACAAAAGUAUCUUAAUGCACUUCAUUUUAGCCAAUGUGGAAAAGCAACUGAAAAAAAGUGAUAGAUAUUAUAUUCCUAGAAUUGGGCAUUGAGUCAUUCGGACAAACUGUGAGACUCUUGUCUCACUCCCUGGCAAUCAGAAGACAAAAUGUUAGCUAUUUUCUAUUAAAAAAAAAAAAAAAGACAACUGACUAGAUGCUAAUUCUGGACCGCUAUAAUUCUCCAGGGAUUGUCUUACUGCAGAUGACUCACAUGACAGAUGUAUUUUAUCAAUACAGAUGCCAAGCCAUCUUUUGGCAGCAUGUUUUCAAGGACCACAGUCAAAAUCAUAAACUUACUUUUUUCCAAGUGUAUUAUGUGCCUGCAGUGCCCUCGGAUUUAUAUGUCUGUGCUGUACAGCAGAGUUUCAAAACCAUCCAAACAAAGGUCCUGGACAGUUCAGUUCACUUUUACUGAACAAAAGGCAAAUUUGGCUUAUUACAAUUCUCCUCCAGUGCAAAACAAACACAAAAGAUUAGACCAAUUCAAUUAUGUCAUGCCACUUUUUUCCUGAACUGUGAGACUCUCUGGUUUUCCAGCUCCACACUUGGUGCAAUAAGAAAAAGUAUAUGCAGCUGCACUUGAAAAUUAAAUCAUGUGCUGCUUCAUUCUGUUGUUUGCUUCUUUAGUUGAUUAUUGUUUGUUGGUGGUGGUGGUUUUGCUUGUUUGCUUGUUUUUGCUUUGUCAUUUCACAAUAUUGUUGCAAUGACUAAAGGAUAUUAGGACAAGGUGUAUGUGUGCUCUUGGGAAGAAGGAACCUCUAUACAAAACAUAUUACCUACUGAAUAUAUACCAAG
ensembl:lncRNA